rnacentral:rRNA from 1 species
ACGCUCGACAGUGUCAGCAGCCGCGGUAAUACGGAGGAUGCGAGCGUUAUCCGGAUUUAUUGGGUUUAAAGGGUGCGUAGGUGGUCUUUUAAGUCAGCGGUGAAAGUUUGUGGCUCAACCAUAAAACUGCCAUUGAAACUGGGAGACUUGAGUAUGUUUGAGGUAGGCGGAAUGCGUGGUGUAGCGGUGAAAUGCAUAGAUAUCACGCAGAACUCCGAUUGCGAAGGCAGCUUGCCAAGCCAUAACUGACACUGAAGCACGAAAGCGUGGGUAUCAAACAGGAUUAGAUACCCUGGUAGUCCACGCAGUAAACGAUGAUUACUAGGAGUUUGCGAUAUAAUGUAAAGCUCUACAGCG